CUAGCCCUAUAAAUACCAAAGAAGGGGCGUCUGGUAGCUACAUUCAGAAAUAGGCCUGCUGAGUCAAAGAGCGAGUCACCAUGAGAGCUAAGUGGAAGAAGAAGCGCAUGAGGAGGCUGAAGAGGAAGCGCCGAAAGAUGAGGCAGAGAUCAAAGUAGAGGUUUACAAGGACAAGAAGAUAGACCUUCCCUGAUAUGCCUUUUUGUCUUCAUAACCUGCAUUUGUGACCAUGCGGGCUUGUGAGGAUCGGAAGACUGAUGGAGAUGGAUUGUUCUUUUUCUAUCUUAUUGGAACCUUGUUCUAUGAGAUGCCAAUGGAGUUUUGGCUUUUAGGCUUUAGAGUAUUAUUGAUGCUUCGGAUGAUAACGUUGAGACAGUCAUUUAGUUUUGUUUAUUCUAAUAUGCUUUCAAAAGGUUUAUGAAACUUGAAGAAGAUUGAACUCUUGGAUGGAUCAUUAAAAAUGAAUCUCUGAUCUGAACAUCUUAGAAA